CAGAAUCAACGCUGGCGGCGUGCCUAACACAUGCAAGUCGAACGAGAAAGUGGUAGCAAUACCAUGAGUAAAGUGGCGCACGGGUGAGUAACACGUGACUAACCUACCCUGGAGUGGGGGAUAACUGAGGGAAACCUUAGCUAAUACCGCAUAAUACCCACGGGUCAAAGGAGCAAUUCGCUCUGGGAGGGGGUCGCGGCCGAUUAGUUAGUUGGCGGGGUAACGGCCCACCAAGACGAUGAUCGGUAUCCGGCCUGAGAGGGCGCACGGACACACUGGAACUGAAACACGGUCCAGACUCCUACGGGAGGCAGCAGUGGGGAAUUUUGCGCAAUGGGGGAAACCCUGACGCAGCAACGCCGCGUGGAGGAUGAAGUCCUUCGGGACGUAAACUCCUUUCGAUCGGGACGAUUAUGACGGUACCGGAAGAAGAAGCCCCGGCUAACUUCGUGCCAGCAGCCGCGGUAAUACGUAGGGUGCGAGCGUUAAUCGGAAUUACUG
rnacentral:rRNA from 1 species